CACGUAGGGCGCAAGCGUUGUCCGGAAUUAUUGGGCGUAAAGAGCUCGUAGGCGGUCUGUUACGUCUGCUGUGAAAACCCAGGGCUUAACCCUGGGCUUGCAGUGGAUACGGGCAGACUAGAGGCAGGUAGGGGAGAAUGGAAUUCCCGGUGUAGCGGUGAAAUGCGCAGAUAUCGGGAGGAACACCGAUGGCGAAGGCAGCUCGCUGGGACGUGACUGACGCUGAGACGCGAAAGCGUGGGGAGCAAACAGG
rnacentral:rRNA from 1 species